rnacentral:misc_RNA from 1 species
GAUGAAGAACGCAGCGAAAUGCGAUAAGUAAUGUGAAUUGCAGAAUUCAGUGAAUCAUCGAAUCUUUGAACGCACAUUGCGCCCGCCAGUAUUCUGGCGGGCAUGCCUGUUCGGGCGUCAUUACAACCCUCAGGCCCCCGGGCCUGGCGUUGGGGAUCGGCGGAGCCCCCCGUGGGCACACGCCGUCCCCCAAAUGCAGUGGCGGUCCCGCCGCAGCUUCCAUCGCGUAGUAGCUAACACCUCGCGACUGGAGAGCGGCGCGGCCACGCCGUAAAACACCCAACUCUUCUGAAGUUGACCUCGAAUCAGGUAGGAAUACCCGCUGAACUUAAGCAUAUCAAAAGCGGAGGA